rnacentral:RNase_P_RNA from 1 species
AAAGUUUGACAGACAAUCGCUGGCGGCCCUUUGAGGCUGCGAGAGGAAAGUCCGGGCUCCAUAGGGCGGGAUGCUGGAUAACGUCCAGUCAGCGCGAGCUGAAGGCUAGUGCCACAGAAACGGACCGCCGAUGGCGCACUGACGCUUUGCGUCGGCAAGCACAGGCAAGGGUGGAACCGUGGUGUAAGAGACCACGAGGAACUAUGGUGACAUCGUUCCUGGUAAACCCCAUUUGGAGCAAGACCUAAUGGAACGCAGUCCUUUCGGGGACAGCCUUUGCCCGAGGUGCGUUCGGGUUGGUCGCUUGAGCCAUACAGCAAUGUAUGGCCUAGAUAGAUGAUUGUCGCUUCAACGGUGGGAGGGUGGCACCCGUUACGACCACUGGAAGCACAGAACCCGGCUUACGGCAAACUUUCUUU